AUGUUUGGGGAGCAGAGGGCAGGGGAGGGAGGCUGUCACACACAAAUAAAUCAUAAGGAGAAGCCAAUAAACCGCUGCAGAACGAGUAUGAAUGCUUUCUUGUGCCACGAAAUAUUAGGCUGUGCAAGUAAUCCGUACAGACGACGGACGCCUGGAAUGCGAAGCGGAAUCGAUGGCCAACUCGUGUCAAGCCGUCAGCUCCGCUGGCCCGAGGGACCGGUGUGUGUGAUUGAUGAGCGGGAAGCGCGAGGAGACCUGCGCAGAAUUAAUAUCGCGUGCACUACAAGUGCGCAUGCGCCGAUUUCCUUACGUCUCCUGUUUUCCCGUCAUAAAUGAAAGGCUCUCCUGAGAGAGCAUGGCCCGGGUUCCUCACACAUCAGAUGAGAGACCUAAUAGGUGAGCAAACACACUGAUUACCCAGCCUGCUCUGCUGAGGUUACCUGUUUAUGAGUGUUUUUCUGUACCGCAUGCUUUUUUGCGCAAACAUUACGUGUAUCUAUUUAGUGUGUUGUUACUGAGGGAUUUAGAGCCAUAUGCUGGUGUCAUUUAUUUAGCUUUUUACUUCACUGCACAAAAUGAGCAUUCUUGUACCCUAUACAUGCAAGUUCUUAUAUCAUGCAUACCUUUAAGCACCUACAUUUAUAAGAUAAAAAUGCUUCCAUAGGAUUUCUUUUUGGCCUUUGAGCAAAUUCUUGAGGUUCCUGAAGUGAUGCUGAUUGUAUCAGUGGGAUAAAACAAUGGUCUUUAGAAAAUGAAAACCACAGCACAUCCCACACACUUCACUGGCUUUUAUGUAACCGAGUUGAUCAGGUGGGGACAGCACUCUUAUUUCUAUUGUAGGUUUCAUAUCUUCCCUCCCAACUUGUUGAUAUCUCUUUCAUUCCCCUGCGCUGAUUACUGCUAACAAUACGUUUGAAUGCAAAGGUCAGUCCCAAACAAACAAAUUUCUGCCAAAACCAGAGGUACUCACUAGUAAACACUUUAUUGUAAACCGUUAAGGUUGCUUGAAGUCUGUAGAGAUAAUUUGAUCAUCUGUAAAGCAGGUCUGAACAAGCACAAUCAGAAAAGAAAGCGAGAGAAGGGGGUUUGCUUCCAAAUCAACUAACGUAGAUGUUGCCUAUGUAGGGAGCUCACUAAGUUUUGGAACGGAGCCAGCGUGACAUCAGCUAUAAGGUUUAAUAGAUUCAAAAAAAGAAAAGGCCGACCACAAACUCGUAUGCAAAUAUUAUGAUGAUGC
rnacentral:lncRNA from 12 species